UAUUCCUCUACAUUUUACACCAAAAGCCAGUACUUUGGUUCAGAAUGGUUUAAAAGAGGCUUCCAGAGAAUAAUCCCACCCACUGCUCAACUACCACCCCUGUUUGUUACAGACCCGAUGGCCUUGGCUGAUGGAGGAACUGCAUCUGGAGGACGACCAUGAAUCUACCUGCCAACAGGUGGUACUGGUUUGCACUGGUUUGCAUGAACUGAACAUGGUGGACAUGAGGCAAAUUCCCUGCUUUUUGCCCCAGACCAGGACUGGGUGAUGGAGGGGUGGUGAUGGAGCCGUGCUGAGGACCUGCUGGUGAAGGACGUCCCUCGUGGGGGGGCAAGGACAGCCGACCCUGAGUGAUCUCUGCAGCGUGGUCGGUGGGAGGCGAUGUGGCCGAGCUGUUGAACCAGGCUCUAUCGGUGUCAGGACGCGUUGGUGGAGGAGGAGGGCUGAUGGACGAGAGCCGACGGAGCCAUGGUGGACGAGAGCCGAUGGAGCUAUGGUGGGCGAGAGCCGAUGGAGCCAUGUUGGACGAGAGCCGACGGAGGAGCCAUGGUGGACGAGAGCAGACGGAGGAGCCAUGGUGGACGAGAGCCGAUGGA